rnacentral:rRNA from 1 species
UACGGGGGGGGGCAAGCGUUGUUCGGAAUUACUGGGCGUAAAGGGCUCGUAGGCGGCCAACUAAGUCGGACGUGAAAUCCCUCGGCUUAACCGGGGAACUGCGUCCGAUACUGGAUGGCUUGAGUUCGGGGAGAGGGAUGCGGAAUUCCAGGUGUAGCGGUGAAAUGCGUAGAAUAUCUGGAGGAACACCGGUGGCGAAGGCGGCAUCCUGGACCGACACUGACGCUGAGGAGCGAAAGCCAGGGGAGCAAACGGG